rnacentral:rRNA from 1 species
UUACGGUCAAAUCACGCUGAAACACCGGUUCUCGUUCGAUCACCGAAGUUAAGCAUCGUAGAGCCAGGUCAGUACUUAGAUGGGGGACCGCUUGGGAACACCUGGUACUAUA